rnacentral:rRNA from 1 species
CUACCAGGGUUUCUAAUCCUGUUUGCUCCCCACGCUUUCGCACCUCAGCGUCAGUACCGGACCAGUGAGCCGCCUUCGCCACUGGUGUUCUUCCUAAUAUCUACGAAUUCCACCUCUACACUAGGAGUUCCACUCACCUCUUCCGGACUCUAGAUUGCCAGUAUCAAAGGCAGUUCUGGAGUUGAGCUCCAGGAUUUCACCUCUGACUUAACAUUCCGCCUACGCGCGCUUUACGCCCAGUAAAUCCGAACAACGCUAGCCCCCUUCGUAUUACCGCGGCUGCUGGCAC